rnacentral:rRNA from 1 species
AUACGUAGGGGGCGAGCGUUGUCCGGAAUUAUUGGGCGUAAAGGGCGCGCAGGCGGCCGGUUAAGUCUGGUGUGAAAGACCCAUGCUCAACGUGGGAGUGGCAUUGGAAACUGGCUGGCUUGAGUGCAGGAGAGGGGAGCGGAAUUCCACGUGUAGCGGUGAAAUGCGUAGAGAUGUGGAGGAACACCGGUGGCGAAGGCGGCUCUCUGGCCUGUAACUGACGCUGAGGCGCGAAAGCGUGGGUAGCGAACAGGAUUAGAUACCCUGGUAGUCCACGCCGUAAACGAUGAGUGCUAGGUGUUAGGGGGGAGUGACCCCUUAGUGCCGAAGUUAACGCAAUAAGCACUCCGCCUGGGGAGUACGGCCGCAAGGCUGAA